GACGAACGCUGGCGGCGUGCUUAACACAUGCAAGUCGAACGGCCCGCCCUGACAGAAUCCUUCGGGAUGACGUGAGGAUCCGGGCAGUGGCGGACGGGUGAGUAACGCGUGGAGAACCUGUCCUCUGGACCGGGAUAACCUGGCGAAAGCCGGGCUAAUCCGGGAUGAGCUUCAGGGGUAGCAUUACCCUUAAAGGAAAGGUGGUGAAUGCCAUCGCCAGGGGGUGGCUCCGCGUCGGAUUAGCUAGCUGGUGGGGUAACGGCUCACCAGGGCGACGAUCCGUAGCUGGUCUGAGAGGACGAUCAGCCACACUGGGACUGAGACACGGCCCAGACUCCUACGGGAGGCAGCAGUGGGGAAUCUUCCGCAAUGGGCGCAAGCCUGACGGAGCAACGCCGCGUGAGUGAAGAAGGCCUUCGGGUCGUAAAGCUCUGUCCUCAGGGAAGAAACUUUAAUAGAGGAAAUGCUAUUAAACUGACGGUACCUGAGGAGGAAGCCCUGGCUAACUACGUGCCAGCAGCCGCGGUAAUACGUAGAGGGCAAGCGUUGUCCGGAAUCACUGGGCGUAAAGGGUACGUAGGCGGAUAUUUAAGUCAAAUGUGAAAUCCACCGGCUCAACCGGUGAUGUGCAUUUGAAACUGGAUAUCUUGAGUACAGGAGAGGAGAGCGGAAUUCCUGGUGUAGCGGUGGAAUGCGUAGAUAUCAGGAAGAACACCAGUGGCGAAAGCGGCUCUCUGGCCUGAGACUGACGCUGAUGUACGAAAGCUGGGGGAGCGAACGGGAUUAGAUACCCCGGUAGUCCCAGCCGUAAACGAUGGACACUAUGUGUUGGAGGUUCGAAUCCUUC
rnacentral:rRNA from 1 species